AUAUCACGUUGAAACAGCGCUUUCGUACGAUUACUGAAGUUAAGCAAUGUCAAGCCUGGUUAGUACCUCGAUGGGUAACCACUUGAGAAUAUCUGGUGCUGUAAG